rnacentral:miRNA from 1 species
AGUCAGCCUGUCCUUUGAAGCUUUGAAACCAGGCAUUGACUUCUCACAAGCUAUGAAAGUCCUAGGUGGCAUCUUCCAAUAUAAGGCUGUCUCGUCUACAUUAAAUAUCUAUUU